AAUUACAUCCUGAUGCACGUUCUGUGCCUGUACCCGCUAAGGAAUGUUGUUUUGUAGUCGAAAGUUCAGUAAACAUCAUUAUUGUUGUUGUUGGCAAUGCUUUUAAUGCUUUCUAUUGAUUGAGUUCUGCUCACCUCUGCAGCAAUAGUGGUUUUUGUGUUUCGAUAAAACUUUUUGCUGUUUCCCAAGCACGUGCACCCUAAACUCAUAAGAGAAAGGCAUCAAUUUGCCAUACUUAAAUAUGUACUCAUUAACUAAAAUUAACUUUUAUAAUAUUCAUUUUGUUUGCCAAAGAUAGUUGAAUAUGAAUAUCGGCAAUUUUAAAUAGCAUCUUUACACAUUGAGCUUUUUCUAGAACCUACUAAACUGCGACUGUUUAAUAUAAGCUUCAUUAUGCUAUGGUCUUUCUUUGGUUGCUAGUUUUGGCAGCAAAUAGGUUCUGUGAUGAUUAUUCGCAGGUGCGGCUUGUAAAGAUGGUCAAUGAGGCUAGCUACUAACAUACCUGAAAGGAGUUCAUUAAAAAGCAGAGGAGAAGAUAUUAAACCAUAAGGUCUUACGCCCCCUGAUGCCGGUGACUACUAGACGAGUAACACCAAUACUCGCAUAUGGAAACAUAUAAGUUUUGCUCGGGGAUGAACUGUGACGACUGACGAAUACAGGAUGGUGUGCCAUAGGAUCCAAUAGCAAUGAAGUGACAUUAACACCUAAGUAGAAGACUAUUCAAGGGUUUGCAUAGUAGUAAGCGAAAUCAACACCAACACCAACAGGUACAAGAUGGAAGGCACGACUCGCUUUUGCAAUGUGCAUGCUGAUUUUAAUUUCCAGAAUUGUGGAGACUUGGGAGGGGGAGGGCUACUUCGUGAUCAUCAAGGCCUUUGGGUAGGUGGUUUUGUGAGUCAUGCUGCAGGAGGUAAUGCGUUAACGGCUGAAGCAUCAGCCCUCUUGGAAGGCUUGAAGCUAGCUUGGAGGAUGGCUACCGCAAUUUGAAUUGUGAGAUCGACUGCAAUGAGCUUCUAUCAACGCUUGAAGAUAGAGAAGCUUGUAGAUUCUUCCCGAAUGCAGCGGAAAUAAAUAAUUGGUUGGCUAGGGAUUGGAACAUUUCUCUUAGUUGGAUUCCCAGAGAUUGCAAUGCCUCAGCUGAUUGUAUGGCUAAGCUAGCAGCUAGGUCCCCUCCUCCUGGAGUUAGGAUUUUAGAUGCCCCGUUUGUGGAGCUUGAAACUCUCAUGUUGAGGGACAAGCUCGGUGUUAGUUAGUUGUUGUUUCUCUUGUUAAUUUUCCGAUGAAGCAAAAAAAAAAAGAAUUGUGGAGACCCAAUGACAAAUUUUAAAAAACUCCGAAAUUUUGGAAGUCCUAGGGCUUUUCUCUAAGGUUUAUUGCAGAAGCGGCUGGACAUAGUGAUGGUAUUUGAGUUCUUAUCAACAAAGGAUCUAAACCCUCUCUCUCUCUACUUCAUAUUCUUCCCUAGGCACUCAUUGUCAACGUUGUGGGAGCUUACGAUUGAACGUAUUAUGCAAUUUACGCCAGCCCUAUACCAGGGUAAAGAGGUGUGUUAUGGGAGUCAGGACCG